rnacentral:rRNA from 1 species
GUGCCAGCCGCCGCGGUAACACGUAGGAGGCAAACGUUAUCCGNGAAUUUACUGGGCGUAAAGCNGCGUGUAGGUGGUUACUGUAAAGUAGGGGCGUGAAAAGCUCCCCGGCUCAACUGGGAGAGGCCGUUUCUAAACUACAGAACUAGAGGAUGGUAGAGGGAGGUGGAAUUCCAGGUGUAGCGGUGGAAUGCGCAGAUAUCUGGAGGGAACACCAGUGGCGAAGGCGGCCUCCUGGACCAUUCCUGACACUCAGACGCGAAAGCUAGGGUAGCAAACGGGAUUAGAGACCCCGGUAGUCCUAGCCCUAAACGAUGUAGACUCGGCGUCGGUGGUUUAAUCACCAUCGGUGUCCAAGCUAACGCGAUAAGUCUACCGCCUGGGGACUACGGCCGCAAGGUUAAAACUCAAAGGAAUUGACGGGUCCCCGCACAAGCAGCGGAGCGUGUGGUUUAAUUCGUUGCUACACGAAGAACCUUACCUGGGUUUGACAUAGCAGUGGUAGGGAAGCGAAAGGCGGACCGACCCUUCGGGGAGCUGUUACAGGUGUUGCAUGGCUGUCGUCAGCUCGUGUCGUGAGAUGUUCGGUUAAGUCCGCUAACGAGCGCAACCCGCGUUGUGUGUUACAAGUGUCACACAAUACCGCCGGUUUUAAGUCGGGAGGAAGGUGCGGAUGACGUCAAGUCAGCAUGACCGUUUAUAUCCAGGGCUACACA